rnacentral:lncRNA from 1 species
UCACAUAUUUCUUUUGCCAUCUGAAGAUGUUUGCCACCAGACAAAUUAUAUGCAUAAACCUUUUUCUCUGUGGCGAAAAUCAAGCAAUCACCAUUCAUAACGGCAAACCCUUCAACUCUUGGAUCUUCCUCCUUCAACCCCAUCGCUUUCACCCUUAUUUUCGAAACCCUUCUCCAUAAAGUUGACUUGUAGUCUUCCAAGAUCCAUACGGUAAAGACGCGCUUCCGGUACCUCACUAAACAAAUUGAAUGAUCUGAACUCUUCGCCUUCCC